AAAGAUGCCUGAGGCAAGAGUUCAGGUUCCAACAGCACCACAAGCUAAGGAAAACUUGCCAGAUCAGCGCGGCCCAGCAACCAAGAGCAAUUCCUAUUGUAAUACUACACUGAAAACAAAACAACCGCA